rnacentral:tRNA from 1 species
GCCCGGGUGGCGGAAUUGGUAGACGCUGUGGACUUAAAAUCCAUUGCCCGAAAGGGCGUGAGGGUUCAAUUCCCUCCUCGGGCACCA